rnacentral:tRNA from 1 species
CUUACAAAGCGGGUGUUAGGGCAACGAAGAAUUUUGAUUUCUUAAGAGAGGUUCAGUUCCUCCUGGUAAGG